rnacentral:rRNA from 1 species
GACGAACGCUGGCGGCGUGCCUAAUACAUGCAAGUCGAGCGGACCAAUAGAAGCUUGCUUCUGUUGGUUAGCGGCGGACGGGUGAGUAACACGUGGGCAACCUGCCUGUAAGACUGGGAUAACUUCGGGAAACCGGAGCUAAUACCGGAUAAUUCAUCCCCUCGCAUGAGGGAGUGUUGAAAGUCGGUUCACGCUGACACUUACAGAUGGGCCCGCGGCGCAUUAGCUAGUUGGUGAGGUAAUGGCUCACCAAGGCGACGAUGCGUAGCCGACCUGAGAGGGUGAUCGGCCACACUGGGACUGAGACACGGCCCAGACUCCUACGGGAGGCAGCAGUAGGGAAUCUUCCACAAUGGACGAAAGUCUGAUGGAGCAACGCCGCGUGAGUGAAGAAGGUUCUCGGAUCGUAAAACUCUGUUGUGAGGGAAGAACAAGUACCGGAGUAACUGCCGGUGCCUUGACGGUACCUCAUUAGAAAGCCACGGCUAACUACGUGCCAGCCGCCGCCGUAACAC